ACGGGAGGCAGCAGUGGGGAAUAUUGCACAAUGGGCGAAAGCCUGAUGCAGCGACGCCGCGUGAACGAAGAAGUAUUUCGGUAUGUAAAGUUCUAUCAGCAGGGAAGAUAAUGACGGUACCUGACUAAGAAGCACCGGCUAAAUACGUGCCAGCAGCCGCGGUAAUACGUAUGGUGCAAGCGUUAUCCGGAUUUACUGGGUGUAAAGGGAGCGUAGGCGGUUUUACAAGUCUGAUGUGAAAGCCCGGGGCUCAACUCCGGUAUUGCAUUGGAAACUGUAGAACUAGAGUGUCGGAGGGGUAAGUGGAAUUCCUAGUGUAGCGGUGAAAUGCGUAGAUAUUAGGAGGAACACCAGUGGCGAAGGCGGCUUACUGGACGAUUACUGACGCUGAGGCUCGAAAGCGUGGGGAGCAAACAGGAUUAGAUACCCUGGUA
rnacentral:rRNA from 1 species